CGUGUAGGCGGUUUGGCAAGUCAGAGGUGAAAUUCCCCGGCUCAACCGGGGACCUGCCUCUGAAACUGCCGAACUUGAGGCCGUGAGGGGAGACUGGAAUUCCUAGUGUAGCGGUGAAAUGCAUAGAUAUUAGGAAGAACACCAGUGGCGAAGGCGAGUCUCUGGCACGGUUCUGACGCUGAGGCGCGAAAGCUAGGGGAGCGAACG
rnacentral:rRNA from 1 species